rnacentral:rRNA from 1 species
AUGAACGCUGGCGGCGUGCCUAAUACAUGCAAGUCGAGCGAACAGACGAGGAGCUUGCUCCUCUGACGUUAGCGGCGGACGGGUGAGUAACACGUGGAUAACCUACCUAUAAGACUGGGAUAACUUCGGGAAACCGGAGCUAAUACCGGAUAAUAUAUUGAACCGCAUGGUUCAAUAGUGAAAGACGGUUUUGCUGUCACUUAUAGAUGGAUCCCCGCCGCAUUAGCUAGUUGGUAAGGUAACGGCUUACCAAGGCAACGAUGCGUAGCCGACCUGAGAGGGUGAUCGGCCACACUGGAACUGAGACACGGUCCAGACUCCUACGGGAGGCAGCAGUAGGGAAUCUUCCGCAAUGGGCGAAAGCCUGACGGAGCAACGCCGCGUGAGUGAUGAAGGUCUUCGGAUCGUAAAACUCUGUUAUUAGGGAAGAACAAAUGUGUAAGUAACUAUGCACGUCUUGACGGUACCUAAUCAGAAAGCCACGGCUAACUACGUG